rnacentral:rRNA from 1 species
UACGUAGGGGGCUAGCGUUGUCCGGAAUCAUUGGGCGUAAAGCGCGUGUAGGCGGUCCGGUAAGUCCGCUGUGAAAGUCGGGGGCUCAACCCUCGGAUGCCGGUGGAUACUGUCGGGCUUGAGUACGGAAGAGGCGAGUGGAAUUCCUGGUGUAGCGGUGAAAUGCGCAGAUAUCAAGGAGGAACACCAAUUGCGAAGGCAGCUCGCUGGGACGUUACUGACGCUGAGACGCGAAAGCGUGGGGAGCAAACAGGAUUGAGAUACC